UUCCCACCACAGCUUCCACAGAGUGUUUCACCGUGUUCUUCUUCAUCCUCCAGAUAACUUUCAUCUUCCAGCUUCGGGGUGCUUUUCACCUGACCAUCACUAGAUCUCUUUAUGCUACUACCACGUGAUCUGCUCCCACUGUCUGCACUGGGCUUAUCUUUUAUUGGUUUUCUUUCAGUCACAACUUCAAAGACAGUUGGCACCUCGUUGAUCAAGCUGAAUAGACGCUUCCUUUCAUUUCGAUUAAGACGAGCUCCAAAAUAG
rnacentral:misc_RNA from 1 species